GAUGAACGCUGGCGGCGUGCCUAAUACAUGCAAGUCGAGCGAACAGACGAGGAGCUUGCUCCUCUGACGUUAGCGGCGGACGGGUGAGUAACACGUGGAUAACCUACCUAUAAGACUGGGAUAACUUCGGGAAACCGGAGCUAAUACCGGAUAAUAUAUUGAACCGCAUGGUUCAAUAGUGAAAGACGGUUUUGCUGUCACUUAUAGAUGGAUCCGCGCCGCAUUAGCUAGUUGGUAAGGUAACGGCUUACCAAGGCAACGAUGCGUAGCCGACCUGAGAGGGUGAUCGGCCACACGGGAACUGAGACGCGGUCCAGACUCCUACGGGAGGCAGCAGUAGGGAAUCUUCCGCAAUGGGCGAAAGCCUGACGGAGCAACGCCGCGUGAGUGAUGAAGGUCUUCGGAUCGUAAAACUCUGUUAUUAGGGAAGAACAAAUGUGUAAGUAACUAUGCACGUCUUGACGGUACCUAAUCAGAAAGCCACGGCUAACUACGUG
rnacentral:rRNA from 1 species